GUCUGUGUCAUGUGUCCUCCUUAAUGCGUUCUGGUUCAGAGUUGCUCUCUGAAGUAGGAGGAGGACCCAUAAUUUGAGAUCACGGAGCCUAUAAUAGGAGUAGGGUUAUGGCAACUGCUACCGCCUCUCAGCACUGCUCCGAUAAAGGAGGAGGUAUAGAAUGAGAGAUUCUCCUCCACGACAUCACCUCUCCUCAUCUCCUUCCCAGCCACUUUGGCAAGUUGUGUUCUACCUCCUACUCACAGCACCAGCGGGGAGUGAGAACUGGGACUAAGAGGUUGAUUUGGGGCCUGCUACACUGUAAUCAAAUGAGACUGCUUAGGGGAGAGGAGAAGGAGGAGGUGGAGUAUUAUGUUCUGUCAUGCAUUCCACUGCAGCAUUGUUGCUUUUUUGUUUUUGUCAGGGCAGGCUUUGAUGCUGUAUCCUCUUACCUUUGUAGUCCCGGUAGCCAUGUUUCAUAAACACGGAAUGGGAAACAUCCUCAGCAUUAGAAAUUUAGAUUGCUGCUUUCCUCCUGCCACUCUGCAUUCCGCACGUGCCCGGUCGCAUUCUCCAUCUCCCAAUGCUGAGGUAUUAAGUUUCCUCUCCCAUGCCUCUGAUACAUUUAAACAUCUUACAAUCAGUCCCUUUUAUUCGGUGUGUCAUGUAUAAUCUGCGGAAACAACAAUGCCAACAUGGCUCUAUGUUGCUCUCGCUCUCUUGGUACUUAAGAAGUCUGCUGUCACUGUUUUGUUUCAGGACAAUUGCACUUGCAAAAUGCUUACUUGCUUUAAAUUGAGAAGUUGCUAGGUAUUCAAUUUAGAACUUGUCUUCAUUAUUAAGAAUGUAAUAUUAAUGUCAAGCUAUCUUUCUUUGUAUUUUCACAAAGGGAAUAGGCAGUGCAUGGUUGUCUUUGUAGUUAACCGAAAGUCUCAGUGGGAUAACAGUGUAUUAUAAUCCUUAAUCUAUCUUAACUCAUUAAAAUGCAGUGUUCAGUUCUGCUGGCCAAAUUUUAUUGUCUCGUUGCAUUUUUAGUGAUAUGAGAGAAAUUUCAUGUGUAAUUGAAUAUUUAAAUGUCAGACACUGACGAGAAUCAUUGCAAAGUCCUGAAAUUACUGCCACAUAUAGGUAUAUAAUAUACUUAAGAAAAAAAGUUAGAUAAGAUGCAAAUCUAUAUUUGUCAGCAGAAUCGUCCUCUGUAACACACUGUGCCUCAGUUCUCUCUUUUCUUCUACCUCUUCUUCUUCUUGGAAAGUAACCAUUUUGUCCGACAUCUGACACACUGCCCUGGGUUAUUGAGCCAGACGUGGAAAUCCAAAGCGGAGAUGCUCUCCUUAAUGCCUGACACCUGGUGCAGAUUUGGAAGGGAUUGCACUACAGGUACUGUCUUACCUCUUCACCAAUCCCAGAAAGUCCCUUAGGUAUUUCCUUUUCUUUCCACGGCUGUGUUUGUUUCUACUCUUCUUUGCCACCCAGGUAUCAAGCCUCUGUUAGCUGGCCCCUGUGUUGGGAUUAAGUUCAGAAGGUGUUGAAAAAGGAUACCUAUCAUCCCUUUGAUAAAUAUGAUUCUGAUUUGUUCAGGUAUUUUUAAGGCCUCAAAAAAUAUAAGUAGGAUUAAAAACCUUUCUAAGUAUACGUUACAUCUUCAGUGGGAUAAAAUGAAAGAAAGAUUUCCUGUCCAGGAGCCAGAGCUUUUUUUUUCUACUUUAAAAAUAAAGUAAAUGAUAGCAAUUGAAGAAAGGGUGCAAUGCUGUCACUGAUAAGUUAAAUCUGACAGUUCUUUCAUUUGACAAAAAAUGAGUUCAGUUUUCUGGAAUGAUUACUGAAACAUGUCUGAUGUUAAUAUUAUUAAACUGCUAAUUCCACUUCUGAUCCUGUUAUUUGUUCUUCUCUUGCCACACCCUCUGUCAGGGUAUGCUUUACAAGUGGACGCUACUCUGGAGUGUUGCAGCUCACCUUACCGCUUGCAGUCACAUCUGCAGACUGUGCUGGAGCAGAAUGGCUAGCGAACAUAAACACAGCAAGGACAUCAAAGGCCGGCAGGUUGGGCUAUACCACCUGAGCAUGCUGAUUGCAGUGCAGUUCAGUAUCAUCUGACUGGUGAAAACAGAGGAUUUUGUUGCACCAAGUUGAGACAUUUAACAGAAGGUUCCAACCAGAAUUUUUUGUUUAUUUGUUUAAAAAAAUAAAAAUAAAUGAAUAAAUAAAAGCUCAAAACACAAGCCUUUUGGCCUAUGAAUGGCAAAUUAUAAUUCAGUCCUGGAUAACUCAGGCAACACAGAUAAACUGUGAGCUGUACGCCACAAUAAUGUAACAGUCUUUCCUGGAUAAUAAUAUAAUAAGCAAGAUAAGCAAGUGCACACUUGGUGAGCUUCAUAGGCACACUGUUUAUGUUGACACAUGCAACUCUCUUCCUGAUGCAAAUGCAAUCUAAACAUUAAGCAAAGGGAAGGCAAGCGUAGCCCAUAAAGGCUGUGAGCUCCAAACACUUUGAACAGACAACUAUCACUAAUCACUCCCAGAGCAGUGCGGCGUGUAAUUACUCUGCCAAACGUUUGCCUUUCACAGCUUAGCACUAGGAGCCCUGACCCUGCGCUUCCCUGUCUUUCCUCACCACCGUGCAUGUGGAAGGGGAGGACCCCCACCACCCCCCGCCUGCUCCUCUUUCCCCUUUCUCUUUAGCAAGGGGAAAGGCAAGCUGAGCUCCCUCUCAGUAUUUAGAAAAAGACGGGGGGGAGAGAGGGGGAAAAAGAGAGGGAGAAAGACAGGAAGGGAGAAGACUGAGGUUGGUGCUUCCGGCUUUGUGGGAGCCCAUUUAAACAGGCUUUGAAACCCUAGCCAUCCGGAGAUCAGAAAUAGCCUUAUUGACUGCAUGGGCCCAGAAGUGACUGAGCACACAGGGUUCUUAAGAGUUCACUCUUCCUCGCUGCUUGGAACAGGGGGGUGGGCACCACAUGCUGAGGUCCUCUACAAAGAUUUUGGACAUAAAUUUUACAUCAGGGGAAAAUAUUAUUUUUACAGCUAUUUUUAGUGUUGCAUGGUUGUAUCUCAAUUUUUGUGCUGUUGUAGGAUUUGUGUGUGUGUGUGGUUUAUUUUAGUUAUUUUUUAUUUUAUUGUUUGGAGUGACAGACAUCUAAUUCUACUUUUUCCCCACAGUCUUAUUUAUUGAUAUUAGUAAUGCAGCUGUCAUUCUGCAAUGAGAUCUGUCCUGUGUCUGGGUGAAUGCUGAUAAGAUGACACAAUGCAAAUAUGAAGUGUGAUGGAGCCGCCUUGGCAAGCAGGCUGCGUCCAGUUCUGUCACUGGUCCUUAGUGCUCCAGCAGCCUGGUCAAAAAGACAUCCUGGCAGGGUCCCAGGGUGGAUGCAUCGCCCACGCACGCUGCUCUUGCCAGAUCCCAGAAGUCUUUGUGGUGAACCACUGACCGUGCUGCUCCCUAUUUUCUUCCAACCCAGCAAAUAAUGUGUCAGAAAAAGAUUAUUGAUAGCCCAUAAAAGAAGAGGCAGAAUGUUGUUGCCACUCUGCUCCAACUUUAAGGAACAAUACAAGUGCUAAACCAUCAGUUUCAAUGGUGCACUGCUCCUGAAAGAGCACAGCAUUUAUUUUUCACAUUGUUGUUCAGUUUGAAUAAAAGGUGCUACAACUGGAACAUGAACAGACAACAAUUACUUCUAUUUUUUUUAAAUGCUGCUUCAUUUUCCUUUACAUUUGAAACCUUGUAGUGAAGUUGGCAACUUUGUACUGUGUCUAUUCAAAAGAAAAAUGAGAUCCCUCAAAAGAAACAUUGAAAUUUUCUCCAUGCUCUGUUGAGUCAUUCGCAUUUUUUGCCAACUUUACCAGACACUGGCGAAGCUGUUGCUCAUCUGGCCUAAAUGUGGCCUGAGUGGGUGAUUCUCAGACAGAUGAGGG
ensembl:lncRNA